ACACACACACACACGGCAAUUAUCCUGUAUUAGAGAAAGCUUUACUGGAAUACCUUGGCGUCCUGGACGUUUGGACCUUAAUGCUGUACUUUGCAAACCUUUCCUUGCUAUAGCUAUAACUUGAGUAUGUUUGCUCCACUUUUUCCUUCACCGAUUGCCAUAUUUUGCAAACAAUUAAAUUCAGCAUGAGACAAAGUAGUCCCAAGUUCAGGGCAUGUCUUCCAAUAUUCUGUUGGAAUAUACAAAGCUAGUCAUUGUCAGGGUUAUUAGUUAAUGGCCAAAUAGGCCCAAACAGAAAAUGGGGAAAAAACAUUCUGCUACAUAUGGGGCUAUUUGGACUGCAAAAUCAGGAGAUUGUUGACGGAAUUAAUUCAUUUCCAGCUUUAAUUUUGCCCAGAUGGUAGCUGGGCCAAACUCC